UACGUAGGCGGUUAAAUAAGUCAGGUGUAAAAGGCAUUGGCUCAACCAAUGUAAGCACUUGAAACUGUUUGACUUGAGUAUAGGAGAGGUAAGUGGAAUUCCUAGUGUAGCGGUGAAAUGCGUAGAUAUUAGGAGGAACACCAGUGGCGAAGGCGACUUACUGGACUAUUACUGACGCUGAGGUACGAAAGCGUGGGGAGCAAACA
rnacentral:rRNA from 1 species